GACGAACGCUGGCGGCGUGCUUAACACAUGCAAGUCGAACGGAGUGGCGAACGGGUGAGUAACACGUGGGUUACCUGCCCUGCACUUUGGGAUAAGCCUGGGUAACUGGGUUUAAUACCGGAUAGUGUGGGAUGGGCCCGCGGCCUGUUAGCUUAUUGGUGGGGUAUUGGGCUACCAAGGCGGCGACGGGUAGCGGGCCUGAGCGGGUGGACGGCCACAGUGGGACGGAGAAACGGCCUAGGGUAGUACGGGGGGCGGCAGUGGGGGAUAUGGCCCAAAGGGCGAAAGACUGAUGCAGCGACGCCGCGUGGGGGAUGAGGGUUGUAGGGUUGUAUACCUAUUGCGCAAUCGACGGGGUAGUGGCAGAAGAAGCACCGGCUAACUACGUGCCAGCAGCCGCGGUAAUUC
rnacentral:rRNA from 1 species